CCCUUAGAUGUUCUGGGCCGCACGCGCGCUACACUGAUACGCUCAUCAAGCUUACAACCUUGACCGAGAGGUCUGGGUAAUCUUUGAAAUCGUAUCGUGCUGGGGAUAGAUUAUUGUAAUUUUUAAUCUUCAACGAGGAAUUCCUAGUAAACGCAAGUCAUCAACUUGCAUUGAUUACGUCCCUGCCCUUUGUACACACCGCCCGUCGCUACUACCGAUUGAAUGGUUUAGUGAGGACUCCUGAUUGGCGCCGCCGCCCCGGCAACGGAGCAGCGGACUGCCGAAAAGUUGUUCAAACUUGAUCAUUUAGAGGAAGGAGAAGUCGUAACA
rnacentral:rRNA from 1 species